rnacentral:misc_RNA from 1 species
GUUCUCGUCGCCGACCAGUCCUUGCCGUCUUUUCCUUUCUCACAGACAAACAGAAGGAGGUGGAGUAAAAGGAGAAAGCUUCUCCAAUGGCGGUCGCAUCGAGAAACCUCAUUUCUCAUCUCCGCAUCUUCUUAUCGUCCAAAGUUUCAGAAACCCAGUUCAGAACCUUCAGUGCUUGCAGUAGCCAAGUCGACGAAUUAAGGACUCGGAUCAUCGAAGGAAAACCUGGAAUCAUGACUCCAAACUCCAAACGGACUGGAGCAAUUGCUAUCAAAUGUGGAAUGACUGCUCUAUGGGACAAAUGGGGGGAACGCGUUCCCAUUACCAUCCUUUGGUUGGAUGAUAACAUUGUUUCUCAGGUCAAAACACCGGAGAAAGAAGGCAUAUCUGCCCUACAGAUUGGAUGUGCUCACAAAAAGGAGAAGCAUUUGACAAAACCUGAAGUAGGUCAUUUUAGAGCACAAGGUGUGCCCAUGAAGAGAAAGUUGAAGGAAUUUCCUGUUACCGAAGAUGCCCUUCUUCCUGUUGGAACGAGCAUCAGUGUCAACCAUUUUGUUCCAGGCCAGUAUGUGGAUGUUGCUGGAAUUACAAGAGGGAAAGGUUUUCAGGGCGGGAUGAAAAGAUGGGGAUUUAGCGGUAUGCCUGCAUCACAUGGUGCUUCAUUAUCCCACAGAAGUAUUGGUUCUACAGGUCAAAGAGAUGCUCCAGGAAAGGUAUUUAAAGGGAGAAAAAUGCCUGGACGCAUGGGCGGAGUGCAACGAACUGUUAAAAAUGUUUGGGUCUACAAGAUUGAUCCUGCCAGAAACUUGAUGUGGGUUAAAGGCCAGGUUCCUGGAGCUGAAGGUAACUUUGUGUUCAUCAAAGAUUCUGUGUACAAGAAACCAGAUAUUUCAACGCUUCCAUUUCCCACUUACUUUGCCCCAGAAAAUGAAGAUCAAGCAGAUUUGGAACCAUUAGUGGCUGAUCUUGGUGAUACAGACCCUUUUAUGGCUGCUGAUUAAUAUCUAGCUGUGACCAUGGCAUUUUGUGUCUUUACCUUUUUUAUUUCUUCAACAAGCAGCAGUGAAGUGGUAGUGUUUUAGAAGGAAUUUAUUCGUAAUAGUGUUUGACAGUUCUCUGGCUGAUGGUACUCUAAUUUUGAGUUGUACUACAAAAUAUCUACUUCUUGUUGGAUAGGGUGAAAUUUAGCUACCUCUUCCAGAGAAAUUGUACAGACACAAACUAAUUAUGUUGUUGCUGGAUAAUAACAGAAAUGUGAUGAAUGGAG